GUCUCUGGGCAGUAACUGACGCUGAGGAGCGAAAGCAUGGGGAGCGAACAGGAUUAGAUACCCUGGUAGUCCAUGCCGUAAACGGUGGGCGCUAGGUGUGAGUCCCUUCCACGGGGUUCGUGCCGUAGCUAACGCAUUAAGCGCCCCGCCUGGGGAGUACGGCCGCAAGGCUAAAACUCAAAGGAAUUGACGGGGGCCCGCACAAGCGGCGGAGCAUGUGGAUUAAUUCGAUGCAACGCGAAGAACCUUACCUGGGCUUGACAUACACUGGAUCGGGCUAGAGAUAGUCUUUCCCUUUGUGGCUGGUGUACAGGUGGUGCAUGGUUGUCGUCAGCUCGUGUCGUGAGAUGUUGGGUUAAGUCCCGCAACGAGUGCAACCCUUGUCUUAUGUUGCCAGCAUUUGGUUGGGGACUCAUGAGAGACUGCCGGGGUGAACUCGGAGGAAGGUGGGGAUGACGUCAAAUCAUCAUGCCCCUUAUGUCCAGGGCUUCACACAUGCUACAAUGGUCGGUACAACGCGUGUGCGAUCCUGUGAGGGUGUGCUAAUCGCUGAAAGCCGGUCGUAGUUCGGAUUGGGGUCUGCAACUCGACCCCAUGAAGUCGGAGUCGCU
rnacentral:rRNA from 1 species